UAACUUAAAGGUAUUGACGGAAGGGCACCACAAGGCGUGGAGCCUGCGGCUUAAUUUGACUCAACACGGGGAAACUCACCAGGUCCAGACAAAAUAAGGAUUGACAGAUUGAGAGCUCUUUCUUGAUCUUUUGGAUGGUGGUGCAUGGCCGUUCUUAGUUGGUGGAGUGAUUUGUCUGCUUAAUUGCGAUAACGAACGAGACCUCGGCCCUUAAAUAGCCCGGUCCGCAUUUGCGGGCCGCUGGCUUCUUAGGGGGACUAUCGGCUCAAGCCGAUGGAAGUACGAGGCAAUAACAGGUCUGUGAUGCA
rnacentral:rRNA from 1 species